GGCCUGAUAGCUCAGGGGUUAAGAGCACUAGACAUGUAAUCCAGACAUAUGUAGUGGUCACUGGUUCAAAUCCAGCUCAGGUCA